rnacentral:rRNA from 1 species
GGCGUCGUAGAGGGUGAGAAUCCCGUAUGCGAUCGGCGACCAAGCACCAUGUGAAACUCCUUCGACGAGUCGAGUUGUUUGGGAAUGCAGCUCAAAAUGGGUGGUAAAUUUCAUCUAAAGCUAAAUACCGGCCAGAGACCGAUAGCGCACAAGUAGAGUGAUCGAAAGAUGAAAAGCACUUUGGAAAGAGAGUCAAAAAGUAUCGUGAAAUUGUUGAAAGGGAAGCGCUUGCAACCAGACCUGCCCGCGGGCGAUCAACCGUCCCUCCGGGGGCGGUGCACUCGACCGCGAUCAGGCCAGCAUCGGUUCGGGCGGCCGGAUAAAGGCCUCGGGAAUCGUGGCUCCUUUCGGGGAGUGUUAUAGCCCUUGGUGCAAUGCGGCCUGCCUGGACCGAGGACCGCGCUUCGGCUAGGAUGCUGGCGUAAUGGUUGUAAGCGGCCCGUCUUGAAACACGGACCAAGGAGUCUAACAUCUAUGCGAGUGUUUGGGUGUCAAACCCAUACGCGUAAUGAAAGUGAACGGAGGUGGGAACCCGUUAGGGCGCACCAUCGACCGAUCCAGAUGUCUUCGGAUGGAUUUGAGUACGAGCAUAGCUGUUGGGACCCGAAAGAUGGUGAACUAUGCCAGAAUAGGGUGAAGCCAGAGGAAACUCUGGUGGAGGCUCGCAGCGGUUCUGACGUGCAAAUCGAUCGUCAAAUUUUGGCAUAGGGGCGAAAGACUAAUCGAACCAUU